AUGAGUGAAGAACGGUGGGUCUCCCUUACUCCAGAAGAAUUUGACCAGCUCCAGAAAUACUCAGAAUAUUCUUCCAAGAAGAUAAAGGAUGUCUUGGCUGAGUUUAAUGAGGGUGGGAGCCUCAAACAAUAUGAUCCGCAUGAGCCAAUUAGCUAUGAUGUCUUCAAGCUGUUCAUGAGGGCAUACCUGGAGGUGGACCUUCCUCAGCCACUGAGCACGCACCUCUUCCUGGCCUUCAGCCAGAAGCCCAGACAGGAGACCCCUGACCACCCAACGGAGGGGGCCGGCAAUGAGGCCAGUGGCCCAGAUGCCAACAUACAGACUGUGGAUAAUGGUGCCAAAGCAGAUGAGGCCUGUGCCCCUGAUACAGAAUCAAAAAUCACCGAGAAGCAGGUGCCAGCGAAAGGUGAAGUGGCUGCACCCCCCCUGGGAAAUCCUGUUGCUCCAUCUCCAGGCUCAGAAUCCCCCACAGUGUACCUGAAGGAUGUCGUGUGUUACCUGUCCCUGCUGGAGACGGGGAGGCCUCAGGACAAGCUGGAAUUUAUGUUUCGUCUCUAUGAUUCAGAUGAGAACGGUCUCCUGGACCAGGCGGAGAUGGAUCGUAUUGUCAACCAGAUGCUUCACAUUGCCCAGUAUCUGGAGUGGGAUCCCACAGAGCUGAGGCCUAUACUGAAGGAGAUGUUGCAAGGAAUGGACUACGACGGGGACGGCUUUGUGUCUCUAGAGGAAUGGGUCCAUGGAGGGAUGACCACCAUCCCACUGCUUGUCCUGCUGGGCAUGGAUGACUCUGGCUCCAAGGGGGAUGGGAGGCACGCCUGGACCAUGAAACACUUCAAGAAACCCACCUACUGCAACUUCUGCCACAUCAUGCUGAUGGGCGUUCGGAAGCAAGGCCUGUGCUGUGUUUAUUGUAAAUAUACUGUCCAUGAACGCUGUGUAUCCAAAAACAUUCCUGGAUGUGUCAAAACAUACUCAAAAGCCAAAAGGGGUGGUGAGGUGAUGCAGCACGCGUGGGUGGAAGGGAACUCUUCUGUCAAGUGUGACCGGUGCCACAAAAGUAUCAAGUGCUACCAGAGCGUCACCGCGCGGCACUGCGUGUGGUGCCGGAUGACGUUUCACCGCAAAUGUGAAUUAUCAACGUUGUGUGACGGUGGGGAACUGAGAGACCAUAUUUUGCUGCCCACUUCAAUAUGCCCUGUCACCCGGGACAGGCAAGGUGGGAAGUCUGAUGGCAGCGUGUCAGCUAAGGGUGAACUUGUAACGCAGUAUAAGAUCAUCCCCACCCCGGGUACCCACCCCCUGCUGGUCUUGGUGAACCCCAAGAGUGGAGGGAGACAAGGAGAAAGAAUUCUUCGGAAAUUCCACUAUCUGCUCAACCCCAAACAAGUUUUCAACCUGGACAAUGGGGGGCCUACUCCAGGACUGAACUUUUUCCGUGAUACUCCAGACUUCCGUGUUUUAGCCUGUGGCGGAGAUGGGACCGUUGGCUGGAUUCUGGAUUGCAUCGAUAAGGCCAACUUUGCAAAGCACCCACCGGUAGCUGUCCUGCCUCUUGGAACAGGAAAUGACCUGGCCCGCUGUCUCCGCUGGGGAGGAGGUUAUGAAGGGGGCAGCUUGACAAAAAUCCUGAAGGACAUCGAGCAGAGCCCCUUGGUGAUGCUAGACCGCUGGCAUCUGGAAGUCAGCCCCAGAGAAGAGGUGGAGAACGGGGACCAGGUCCCAUACAACAUCAUGAACAACUAUUUCUCCAUUGGUGUGGAUGCUUCCAUUGCACACAGAUUCCACGUGAUGAGAGAGAAGCACCCUGAAAAAUUCAACAGCAGGAUGAAGAACAAGCUGUGGUACUUUGAAUUUGGCACCUCAGAGACCUUUGCGGCCACGUGCAAGAAGCUGCAUGACCACAUAGAGUUGGAGUGUGACGGGGUUGGGGUAGACCUGAGCAGCAUCUUCCUUGAAGGCAUUGCCAUUCUCAACAUUCCCAGCAUGUAUGGAGGCACCAAUCUCUGGGGAGAAACCAAGAAGAACCGGGCUGUGAUACGGGAAAGCAGGAAAGUCAUCACUGACCCCAAGGAACUGAAAUUCUGCGUCCAAGACCUCAGUGACCAGCUCCUCGAAGUGGUGGGGCUGGAGGGAGCCAUGGAGAUGGGGCAGAUCUACACUGGUCUGAAGAGUGCAGGCAGGAGGCUGGCCCAGUGCUCCUCUGUCACCAUCAGGACAAACAAGCUGCUGCCAAUGCAAGUGGAUGGAGAGCCCUGGAUGCAGCCACCUUGCAUAAUUAAAAUUACUCACAAGAAUCAAGCGCCUAUGAUGAUGGGGCCUCCCCAGAAGAGCAGCUUCUUUUCACUGAGGAGGAAGAGCCGUUCAAAAGACUAAACAACGUGCCAAAUGCCAGUUAAACCAAGAGAGAAAAUAAGAAACUGUAACACACACACACACACACACACACACAUGAACACACACACGCACACACAUGCACACUCAACUCUAACCAGUGGAAGCAAAGCCACCUUCAUGAAGAAAUCUUCAUCUUUCCAUAUACUCUCUCUACUUCAACAAUGGACACACCCCAGCAGAGCCAGUAACCCCAGAAAAUUUUGAAUGGACCCAGGGCCCACCAGGGUGUAGUUGGCUUUUGCAGCAAACGCCACAUUCCCAGAAGGCCUGAGUGGGACUUUCUGACACUGAAGGAGAAAUCCCCCUUUCUUCUCACCGGUCCUGCAAGGUCCCUCAUGGACACUCCCAAGAAGCAGGCUGCAGGUUUCCUGCCUAUGGUGAGAUCGGAUGUGGCCAAGGGAAAGAGCUCCCAUUCCAGAGAACUUACACAAAGGUCCCUCUGUACAGAGACAAACAGCCUCCAACUCUCAGAGCAUAACCCUUGGCAGGGCUCAGCAAGUGCACGUUGGUUUCUUAGUUGUCCUUCAAGCAGCAACUUCUGCCUGAACUUGCUGAGGAGGCAGAAAGCCUGUGGAAAGCUGUGUUUCCAUUCUUGGUUCUCCAUGCUGUCAGUGGGCACUUGUUAUUUUCCCAGAGCCUUCUCCUGGUGGCUGCGUGUUUGUUUGGAGACGGCUCCAAGAGCCCCCAGAGCUGCCUGCACAGCACACCUUAGAUGUGAUGGCAGGAGAUCUGACUAAAGAGAAGAAGGUCCUACAGCAAGUUGCUGACCCAGCUUAUAGCACAGCUGCCCUCUUCCAUAGAAUGGGAAGAAACGACCUUUUGUGCCUCUGUGUACCGUCGUCCUCAACGCUCGAAAACAGGACCCUCCUAUCUUGGAAAAGUCUGACAACUGUUCCAUAGAGGCUGCUGUGCUUCGAAGGGAGCCAUUCCAUGUGCCAGGAUGGUAUGAGGGGUGAAACCCUGCCUGGGAAACAAGAGCAACAUGGGGAGUAGGCUACAGUCCUGUCUCAGCCACAUGGCCUUGGACAUGUCCUUCAGCCUCCUGGGGCCUCUCUUUCUUUGUCUACCAAACAAAGGGGCUCUAAAGACUUUCCCUCUUCAAUGAUCUUGCCUUUACCUGGGGUAAAUGCUGCAGCCAAAGGAGAGGGAGCAGGCCCCUUGUUCUUCUGGGUCUCCCACCAAGACUUCCCCCAGCCCUGCUACCCUGAAGGGCUACUCCUGGCCCCUUAAAGAAUCUUCCCUUCCCUCUUAAGAAUUGAUCAUGCCCAGAAAACAGCAGAUUUGGGGGACCAACAUGAAAAAAACCCUACGAGAAAACUCUGAUAAGUCCUCCACCUUUACACACACACACACACACACACACACA